GGCUGUGAGGGGAGGCGCGUUUGAGUGGCGGGGCCGAGGUGGCUGGGACCCGGGUUCCGUGCUGUGGGGCUGCUGCGGGCGUCGGCGGUUGCGGCGAGGCUGACGCUGAGGGCGGCGCGUCUCCCCGGAGCUGCCUCCCGCAGCACCGAGGCCUUGCCGGUCGGGAUCCCGGGGGAGCCGCACGGCGCUUGGCUCAGAUUGAGCACACUGUCACAUUCUAGCCACCAACAAGGCUAUUCAUUUUACCUGCAAAAUGCCUUGACUGCUGCUUUGCCACCGCCCUGAUCUAAGUCUCUGUUUUCUGCUUGGACUAGGACUUACAGUCUUCUGGGAAGGGGUGCGAAGAUGCUUAUAGAGCGUCCAGGGAUGGCAGAAGAGCCUCAGCAGCAAAUGGGUGGCCCUGUGGUAAAACUGGAGAAAGAGCUGCCGUGGGGCAGGACGAGGGAGGACCCCAGCCCAGAGACUUUUCGCCUGCGGUUUCGGCAGUUCCGCUACCAGGAGGCGGCCGGGCCCCAGGAAGCCCUCAGGGAGCUCCAGGAGCUCUGUCGCCAGUGGCUGCGGCCCGAGCUGCACACCAAGGAGCAGAUCCUGGAGCUGCUAGUGCUGGAGCAGUUCCUGACCAUCCUGCCACGGGAGUUCUACGCCUGGAUUUGGGAGCAUGGCCCUGAGAGCGGCAAGGCCCUGGUGGCCAUGGUGGAGGACUUCACACAGAGAGCCCUGGAGGCCAAGGCGGUUCCGUGCCACGUGCAGGGACAGCGGGAGGAGACAGCACUUUGCAGAGACCCCUGGGAACCAAGUGUCCACCUGGGGCCCGUGGAGGUCAAGCCUGAGUGGGGGAUGCCCCACGGGGAAGGCUUCCAAGGCCUUGACCGAGGCGCUGAGGAGCAGCUCAGCCAGGACCCUGGAGAGGGGACGCAGGCCUUCCAGGAGCAGGCUCUGCCAGUCCUUCAGGCUGGUGCUGGCCUCCCUGCAGUGAGCACCAGAGACCAGGAGGUGGCAGCUAGCUUCCUGACGGCUGGAUCCCAGGGGUUGGGCCCAUUUAAAGACAUGGCCCUGGCUUUCCCUGAGGAGGAGUGGAGGCAUGUAACCCCAGCCCAGAUAGACUGCUUUGGGGAGUAUGUGGAACCCCAGGACUGCGGGGUCUCACCUCAAGGCCUGGGGAGCAAGGACAAGGAGGCAAAGACCCAGCUGGCAGACCCCAAGGGGCAGCUCGCUUGUGGGCCGGCAGAGCGGUGUGGGGAGCCCGCUCUCCAGGGCCCGGAGCUGGGAAGACCAUGCGAACAGGAGGCCAGGAGCCCGCUGGGAAACGCGCCUGGGCCGCUCCCGCCCCAGCACAGCAUCACCCCGCUGCCUGAUGACCUCCAGACCCACAGCUCCUUCUGGAAGCCUUUCCAGUGCCCUGAGUGUGGGAAGGGCUUCAGUCGGAGCUCCAACCUGGUCCGACACCAGCGGACGCACGAGGAGGAGAAGUCGUACAGCUGCGGGGAGUGCGGCAAGGGCUUUGCGCUGCGCGAGUACCUGCUGAAGCACCAGCGGACGCACCUGGGCCGGCGGCCGCACGUGUGCGGUGAGUGCUGGAAGACCUUCAGCCAACGCCACCACCUCGCGGUCCACCAGCGCAGCCACACAGGCGAGAAGCCAUUCCAGUGCGCGGACUGCUGGAGGAGCUUCAGCCGCCGGCAGCACCUGCAGGUGCACCGCCGGACACACACCGGUGAGAAGCCGUACACCUGCGAGUGUGGCAAGCGCUUCAGCAGGAACGCCAACCUGGCGGUGCACCGGCGGACCCACACCGGCGAGAAGCCCUAUGGCUGCCAGGUGUGCGGGAAGCGCUUCAGCAAGGGGGAGCGGCUGGUCCGGCACCAGAGGAUCCACACCGGGGAGAAGCCGUACUGCUGUCCGGCCUGUGGCCGCAGCUUUAACCAGCGCUCCAUCCUCAACCGGCACCAGAAGACGCAGCACCGCCAGGAGCCCCCGGGGCAAUGAGGGCGCCUGGCCCGGAUGCCCCUCUUUGGCUCACGGAGAAGUCGGGACCUUCCGGGACCUCGUGGGAGGAAGUACCCACUGUACUCCCUGAAGGGCUGCGGGUGUCAGGAGUGUUGGGUGUGGAGAGCCGCUUUGACCCUUUUUCUUUCCCCUCGUUUCAGACGCUGGGUGAGGGAGAGGCCUGCUUUAGUUGAGAUGCCACAUCUCUCACCCAACUGGUGCUAGCACUUCUUAACCUUCUUUCCAGGAAGUGAUGGCCCAAGUUUCAGUUCAGGUUGAGGUUUUUCUCCGUCCAUGGAUGUUCACGUCCACCUCCUGAGCAAAUCUGAUCUUCAUGGUGAAAUCUUCUCACCUGUCAGCAGCUUGAACCUCAUUUUCCAGAAGGCUGUGUCCCUGCAAGAUCAUUAGCUCAGACUCUGAUUCCCUCUCUCCCCCCAGUUCUCUUUCACUUAACAAAUAUUUAUUGAACACCUACCGUGUGUCUGGCACUGGGAGUCCAGUGACCAGACAGCUGAGACCUCAGUGCCCCAGAGUGUGGGAUCAGGCUCUGGAAGCAGACUUGUUAAUAAAGCAGAGCACCCUGAGUUACAUUCCUGGUGAGUACUGAAUGAGAGGAAGUUCUCCGCUCCAUCUGCCCAGUUCCUGAUCUCUCUCUCCCCAGCUGGGUCGCUUAGGCAUCCACCUUUAUUUUACUGUCUCUGUGGCCCCUUCCUCUCUGUGACCUACUGUCAUUAGUAGUUUCUCCCAUUCCAUUGUUCCUUGAACAAAAACAGCUGUCCACACAUCUGUUAGGAAAUUAAUAUUUUGCUUUUGGUCACUGUCUAAACAGUAUUUUUUAAAAAAAAUCCAGUUCGGAAUGAAGUUCUAAUUAAAUGAGUCCGAAAGAUGAACUGGUAUUAAUACUCUACGUUUGAUGGCACUUUACAGCAUAUAAAAUGCACUUCCCUGUUUUCUCAGUUGACUCAUUCCACAAAUAUUUAUUGAGGCCUGACAGUGUGCCAGGGACUCUUCUGGGUGCUUGAGGUAGGUUAGUAAAUAAAAUGGGGGGAGUCCCUGUCCUUGGGGAGCUUACAUGUUAGUGAAUGUAUUUGAUCUUCAGAAUCACCUGAGGUGGAACCUGUGGAUACUCCCAGAUACCCUCUGGACCUGGGCAUCUGGGCCUGUGCCUCCGUCCUGUCAGCUCUGGCCCUGCAGUGCAUUCACCACCACCUACCUCUUGUUUCUGAAUCAUCUCUGUCCUCGGUGCAUCUUGGUCCUUGUCAUCUGAGAGGUGCUUGGGAUCCUCAGGCCACCUGGAGAUGAUGAGACGGUAGCUGGCUGUUUUUAUAUGAAUGCUAAUUUAGAAAAAACAAAGAUGUUUUUAGGAAUUAAAUACAUUUUUUUAAAAAUAAGAAGAUGCAUUACCUGUAACUGUGUUUAAGCUCUCAUAUUAUUUUGCCAUCGUUAAAGGGUUUCCUUUUACUUGGACUUUCUGGAAACUGCCUAACUAGCCUGGACCAUGCUGCAGUGCCUUCGGACGCCACUGCCGAGUAACCGUGGUGUUUACAUUUGAUUCAGCAGAAGACCUCCUGGCCCUUCAGUUGUCCCCGUGAGGCUGUGAGUACUGUGAGACGUCCACUUUCUGAGAUGCUGGACUGCUAUUUCCCAGCACCGUUGAGUCCAGAUGCAGAGUCAGCUCUCUUCUGCCCCACGCCUCAGACAAGCCAGGCAAGGCGCAUAGCCACCUGGAGUCCAAACCCAAUGAUAGGCUUCCCUCAGCCUCUGGCUUCUAGUCUAUAGGACAUAGGGGCUGACCUGACCCGAGUUUGGUCUUUUCUAAGAGGUGUGUAGGGGGCCUGGGGCCAGCAUGGGGUUGCAGUUGCUCAUCAGUGGCCUUCUGUUUACCUGAAUUAAAUGGUAGAUUCUCUGAGCAUAAACUGGGUUUUCAGCCAGUUGGGCUCUCAGAAGGGAGCUUCUGUAAGAGUCAGAACUUGCUGUCUUCCCGCAUGGGCUCCCUUGUUUGCUUUGAGACCAAAGCUUACUGACAGUUCCUCCAAAGAGUCCCCAAAGGAAAAUUUUCCCAUAGAGUUGUAUUAACCUUAUUUUUGAUAGCUGUUCAAAUGCCAAAUACUGUUUUCUGUAUUUUUCUUAGGAAUUUUUUUAGAAUAGAGAAGUUCAAACAUAUAAAUGAAUCCUCAUGUAUUCAUCAUUUAGCUUUAACCAUUUGUUUCUGCAUAGCCAAUCUUGUUACAUUUCUGCCCCAUCCUCCUCUUCAUCUUCCUCCCCAGCUGAGGUAUUUUGAAGCAAAUCUCAAAUGUUGUUUAUAGAUAUUUCACUGUAUACUGCUAAAUGUUAAGGCUUCUUUAAGAAGAAAAAUAACCACAUUGCUAUUAUCAUACCUAAAAAAUUAAAUAGUUCCUUAAUUUCCAAUUAAUGCACUUAAAAAAGAAACCACAUGAUUGUUAAAAAGCUCUUUUAAGAUCAAAGUAAGAUCCAUAAAUUGUAAUUUGUUGCUUGUCUUCUAAGUCUGAUAUGUCUUUUCCCCCUUGAUAUAUGUUUUUCUUUUUUAUUUGGCUAUGCUGCAUGGCUUGUGCGAUCUUAAUUCCUCAACCAGAGAUUGAACCCAUGCCCCCUACAGUGGAAGCACAGAGCCCUCACCACUGGACCACCAGGGAAGUCCCUUCCCCUUAAAAUUUAUUCGUUAAAACAACUGGAUUAUUUGUCCUGUGGACUUUCUCACAUUCUGAAUUUUAUUGCUUGCACACUCAUGGCAUAGUUAAAUAUAGUUCUCUGCCAUCUGAUUAACUGAAAACUUCAGGUGUAGAGGGCUAGUCGGGUUCAUGUUUCACAUUCUGGCAAGAACAUACUACAGAUGGUGGCUUGUCAGGUUGUUUGUCGUUAUAUAAUGUUAAGAACCUAAAUGUGAAGUCGAGUGGGCCUUAGGAAGCAUCACUAUGAACAAAACUAGUGGAGGUGAUAGAAUUCCAGUUGAUCUAUUUCAAAUCCUAAAAGGUGAUGCUGUGAAAGUGCUGCACUCAAUAUGCCAACAAAUUUAGAAAAAGCAGCAGUGGCCACAGGACUGGAAAAGGUCAGUUUUCAUUCCAAUCCCAAAGAAAGGCAAUGCCAAAGAAUGCUCAAACUACCGCACAGUUGCACUCAUCUCACAUGCUGGUAAAGUAAUACUGAAAAUUCUCCAAGCCAGGCUUCAGCAAUACGUGAACCGUGAACCUCCAGAUGUUCAAGCUGGUUUUAGAAAAGGCAGAGGAACCAGAGAUCAAAUUGCCAACAUCCGCUGGAUCAUCAAAAAAGCUAGAGAGUUUCAGAAAAACAUCUAUUUAUGCUUUAUUGACUAUGCCAAAGCCUUUGACUGUGUGGAUCACCACAAACUGUGGAAAAUUCUGAAAGAGAUGGGAAUACCAGACCACUUGACCCGCCUCUUGAGAAACCUGUGUGCAGGUCAGGAAGCAACAGUUAGAACUGGACAUGGAACAACAGACUGGUUCCAAAUAGGAAAAGGAGUAUGUCAAGGCUGUAUAUUGUCACCCUGCUUAUUUAACUUAUAUGCAGAGUACAUCAUGAGAAACACUGGGCUGGAGGAAGCACAAACUGGAAUCAAGAUUGCCGGGAGAAAUAUCAAUAACCUCAGAUAGGCAGAUGAUACCACUAUAUGGCAGAAAGUGAAGAACUAAAGAGCCUCUUGAUGAAAGAGGAGAGUGAAAAAGUUGGCUUAAAGCUCAACAUUCAGAAAACUAAGAUCAAGGCAUCUGGUUCCAUCACUUCAUGGCAAAUAGAUGGAGAAACAGUGGCUGAAUUUAUUUUUUUUGUCUCCAAAAUCAUUGCAGAUGGUGACUGCAGCCAUGAAAUUAAAAGAUGCUUACUUCUUGGAAGAAAAGUUAUGACCAACCUAGACAGCCUAUUAAAAAACAAAGACAUUACCAACAAAGAUCCGUCUAGUCAAGGCUAUGGUUUUUCCAGUAGUCAUGUAUGGAUGUGAUAGUUGUACUAUAAAGAAAGCUGAUCACUGAAGAAUUGAUGUUUUUGAACUGUGGUGUUGGAGAAGAUUCUUGAGAGUUCCUUGGAGAGCAAAGAGAUCCAACCAGUCAAUCCUAAAGGAAAUCAGUCCUGAAUAUUCAUUGGAAGGACUGAUGUUGAAGCUGAAACUCCAAUACUUUGGCCACCUGAUGUGAAGAGCUGACUCAUUUGCAAAGACCCUGAUGCUGGGAAAUAUUGAAGGUAGGAAGAGAAGGGGACAACGGGAUGAGGUGGUUGGAUGGCAUCACCAACUCAAUGGAUAUGAGUUGGGGUAAACUCUAGGAGUUGGUGAUGGACAGGGAGGCCUGGCAUGGUGUAUUCCAUGGGGUCACAAAGAGUUGGAUAUGACGGAGUGACUGAACUGAACUGAAGAGCCUAAUUGCAUUUAUUUUGCUAAUUGUAUAAAAGAAUCUUCAUUUUUUUUAGCUGGGAUGCCUCACAGCUAUAUCUGUGAACUCAUACAGUUCACAGAAGGGAAAUACUGGAUUCUUCUUUCCCUUAUUUACCUGUCUUCACAAUAAUAAUCUAGUGGCUUUUCUUCUAAACUGAUCACCAUGAAAGUGGUCAGUUAUUAUUUUUUUAAUAAAAAAUGCAUUCUUGAAUUUAAACCAGUCCACCACAGUUGUUGAUGCUCAAAUAAUUUCAGUUCUGACAAGUGGGAGCCUCUUCACAUUGGCUCCUGAUUCUAUAUAACACUGAUCACCUUUGAUGGUUUCUUUGCUGUCACAUGACAGGGUGGUACAAGCUCAUCUUGUUCAUUUCAAGCCCCCCUUGAGAGUAAAGGGAAGUGCUUUUAAUUAUGUCAGGACAGUGGGGUAAACUGGGACUCCAGGGCAAACAGGGACACUUGGUCACUUUAUAUUUAGCCCUCAUUGUGUGUGACAGGGUGUCUGUAGUUCCCUCACGCUGGGCUAAGGCUGUGCGCUUUCAGGGCCUAGCUGUGUGUGCCAUGCUGGCUGUGGUGGUGAGAAAGGCCGCUGUUCCAAAGGGGUAUGACCUUUGUAAGAGAAACCCCUUUUUAUUCCCUGGGCGUUAACAGACCGAAUAGCUUUCUGCCUAAGGUCUGUCCUGGAGAGCUAAUGCAUUAAAAAAAAAUGCUUCUCAAAAUGUAUGCCAGGGUGAAUGUUGUCUGCAGGCUGAUUAAGUGUGCUAGAGAAAAGUAGGAAUACCUUUGUUUCUUAAAAAAUAAGCUGGUUUCUCAUCCCAUCACCUUCACCCUGCAACAUAAGUUGUCUGGAUCCACUUCUGAGACGGGGAAAGGAGCUGUCAAAACAUGUCUCCUUGCUCUUGUAAACUUUGCCUGAGUUUCUCAACCUUGGCACUGUUCUCACUGUGUGCCAGGCACUUCUUUCUCUUGGAGGCUGCCCUGGCUUUCUUGUGGGUCUUAGGCUGUUUAGCAGGAUCUUUGUUCUCAGUCUAUUAGAUGACAGUUGUGACAACUAAAGAUGUUUCCAGGCCUUCCCAAAUGUCCCCUGGAGGCAAAAUUGAUCUUGGCUGAGAACCUCUGCCCUUAGGGUUCAGGGUAAGUGCUGGAGCAAUUUCGAUGGCUUAGCUAUUGGAAGAAAAGACUGGGCUUCUAAGGCCUGGACCUUAAAGACCCCUGGCCUAAUUUCUAGAAAACAAAGGAGCUACUAGAGAUCAUGUGGGUUAAGUGCAGUGUUGCCAGGCAGAGCCAAGAGCUGCUGAAGCUGAGUCUCAGGGUGGGUGCUGGGAUCUGUCACAGGCAGCUUGGCUGGUGGCUUUGGGUUCCUUUCAGGCAGGUACCUGCUGUGAAGCCUCCACACAGCAGUGAGCUGGGCCUGAACUCACCGUCCCCAGUGAAUACAGGUGCAUGUUGGGGGCCAUGCAAGCACGAUGCAGCCAGUGCCAACAUUUUUGCCUCCAUAAUAAGGUCUUUAGGGCCCACAGUAGACAAAAAUAUUUGAAUGGAUGAAAGCCCUGGAUUUCUACCUUUUUCAUGGCUAGAAGUCUCUCGAGUGUGCCUUAGGAGGGAAGAGCACUGAAGCACAGAGCCUCUCAGUGGCUCCCAGCCUGGCAGUCAUCUGUAACUGCUGCAUGCCAUCGCCAGGGACAUCCUGUUCAGUUAGCAGUUCUAUAGAUCAGAGUAGCUCACUUGGGCUUCUUACAAUUUCAUAUCCAUUUCUUGCCUUUUCUUUUUCUUUAUUGGCUCAGUGAAGGGCAUAUUUCUAGAGACUGGUCUUGUGCAACCCAUUCCCAGGGUUGAUACCUUUCAAUAAAAAACUGCAGUAAGCAUUUGUUCUGAAGUAGGGAGGGUAGGCUGUCAUCUUCCUUGUGUUUGUCUCCGGGAACUUAAACUGCUGGGAGUGUGAGGGUGGAAGGGCUGGGUGAUGCUGGUGUUGCACCCUGAGAAGCAGAGGGACUGAGGAGAUGAAAGAGCACAGAGGGGCCAGUAAAAGGGCUGUCUUCACUGCCGCAUGCACUAGUCACAGCUCAUGGUCUCCGUGGCCAGAGGUCAGGAAACACGGCAGAUGCAAGAGUUGGCUUCAUAUUUCCCCUUCCUACUUAAAAACUGUGUUUAUUGAGAAGGUGGUGUAUGAGCUUUUAGACAAAGCCUGGGAAAAGGGAUGGUAGAAGUCUGUAUUUGCCUUCUGGAGUCCCACCCCUGGGAGCUAUUUGAGUCUUACACCAUUUCCAUGUCUGUGAAAAAUUUGAGAAAACCCCAUCUCUAUCAUCUGGAUGUUUCAUGGACUUCUGUAGAAGGGCUCAGCAGAUUCUCUGAACAGGAAGAAGCAGAAUGGACGAUGAACAGUUUAUUGUUGAGAACCAGUCUUCCGUCUAGGUAUUCCUAGCCUUCAGUUUUAGGAAUUCCUGCCACCUGAACUAAGGUGCUGUGAGAAGAAUGGAAAAACCAAGAGUUAAAACAGUGUGGUGGUAGCACAGAUAUACCAAUGGAGUGGAAUACAGAUUCAGAAACAGACCCAUCUCUCUAUGGAAACCUAGCAUAUAAUAAAGAUGGUGUUGCAUGGAAAAAUUAACAAAUUUGAAUUCACAAAAAAGAUGAAAGUGACUCUGGAACAUAUGAAAAGAAGUUCACCUUCACUCAUGAAAUAAAUACCAAGUAAAGCUACACUGAGAUAUUAUUUCUUGUCCUAUAGAUUCAAAAGCUGACUACAUGUGAUUGAUGAGUUUGUGGGAAAAAAGGAAUUCUUACACACCGCUGACAGAAUGCAAAAUGAUACAACUUUAUGUGAGGGGAAUUUAGCACUGCUAUAUCUAACAAAGUUACAUGAGAAUUUAUUCUGAAGACACAAGAAGAUACAUAUGCACAAGAUAAUUCAUUGCAGUGUUCUUUGUAGCUCCCUGGUCAAUCCCACGUGGUACUGGUCACAUCUCUAUGUUGAAGUGCUUUAUAUUUCAGGAAAUUCCUGGAGCAGUGGGGCAGGUAACUCGAUCAUGUGGUAUUUGACUCUAGAAGUUCACUUUCUCAUAGAAUAAUGGCAUCUGAUUAAAAAAAUUCAAUGUAGGGGAUCUAGAGGUGACCAGGUCCACUGUCUGAACAUCCCUUGCCUUCCAUGGUACCACAGGGGAUACUGCUCCUCUGCGUGGCACUCAGCUCUCAAUUAGAUCAGCUCACUCAGCUUGCUAUUUUCAGCUUGGGUAGUGGAAGGGUGGACACGUUCCUGCCACACUCAGUGCUCAAGGUGAAAGCUAUCCUUAGGAUAUUCAGGAUAGAGAUUUUUAUCCUUCAUGCUCUUAAACUAGUUAAACAAGGAGGCAGUUAGAGGUAAUUCUAAUGCCUUGGCAGCCUAUAUGAGCAAACCCAAACCUAAGCCUGUGAACGCCUCAAGGUUAAAAAAAUCAAAAAGGAUGGCCAAUCACAAACAGCCAACUUGACUUCCUGCAUAAAGCAGCCUUAAACUACAGCCUCUCAGUUUACUCACUUCUCUUCCUUGUCUUCACUGUAGACGUCUUGCUCCUGCCUCCUGUGUCUGGAAUGAUUUUGGCUCAAAUAAACUGACAUUUUACUAUG